GCCCAGAUGAUCCUGUGGAAGCAGGACCUAGGGACCUGCUGAUUCAAGGCUGAAGUGAACCUUUAAGAAAUGAGGAACAGAGUACAAGAAUUCAGUGAUGAAGUAACAGUGGCAUACAGCCUUUAAUUUCCCCUGGUCCUCUCACCCAGCAAUGAGGUCUCACAACAACAAUACAACAAUAAAUAGUUAUAGAAGGUAACUCACUGUGCUGAAGAGUUCUUCAGAAGGAUGGGAGCCACAAUUGAGGCAGAUCCUUGGACAGACAAGCCAGAGGUGCUUAGGCCUCGUGUUUCCCCCUUACCCCAGAACCAGCCCCAAAAGGG